rnacentral:rRNA from 1 species
UACGUAGGGGGCAAGCGUUGUCCGGAUUUAUUGGGCGUAAAGAGCGUGUAGGCGGCCAUGCAGGUCAGCUGUGAAAACUCGAGGCUCAACCUCGAGACGUCGGUUGAAACCGCUUGGCUAGAGUCCGGAAGAGGAGAGUGGAAUUCCCGGUGUAGCGGUGAAAUGCGCAGAUAUCGGGAAGAACACCCGUGGCGAAGGCGGCUCUCUGGGCCGAUACUGACGCUGAGGAGCGAAAGCGUGGGGAGCGAACGAGG